AAGGCUCAUUGGCUUGUCGAUCUAGAUUAGAUCUUACAACAUUCUAGAUCUAAAUGAUAAAUGUGUAAAAAAAAAAAAAGAUAAUGUAAAUCCUUUCUAUUAAGAAAAAAUGCUGCCUUAACUAGUUACUAGUUUACAAUGGCUAUGCUUGCCCUGGAUAAUAUGUAGGUCACAGCUGGAGCUGCGUAGCCAUGAGAAAUACUGCAUUCCUCAUUAAUCUUCAGACUUGAAGACGAGCCUUAUAAGUUACUAGCUUAGAUUCUAAAUCGUAAGUUGUUCAUUUUUGGCGAAAUAUGCAUUGCACCACUUGGACUGCAUAGUAAAGCGAAAUACUGCAGGCCUACACAUCCAUACCAUUUGUAUUAAAGAAUGUGUCACUCAUUCAUAACCUUCAUAUAGUAUAGUGGAUACUUUUAAGCAAUUUUUUAUUAGAUGCCAUUUAUUUGUUUAAAUGCUCAGCUACUUGAUAUCUGGUUGAAUUCAAAUGAUAAUAAUUGCAUCUUAAUGUGUAAUUAUACAAUUAUUUAUUUACCUUGUAGUUGUUUUUUUAAUCAGUUCAAGAUGUUGAGUAUUGAUUACUAAUCAACUACUAGCCUGGAAGAUAAAAGCCAAAGCUGUAAACAGACAGGCCAGGUAAAUAUAUGAAUGAAGUAAUUGAAACUAGAAGUAAACAUCAUGGGAAGUCUAAUUAUAGGGCAAGUAUUUUUCCUUCAUAUCUUAUUUAACAUAGUCAAACCAUGCAAUACUUAUAGGCUUAACUAUUGUUUUCAUAGAAACAAUGUUAUUUUAAAUAUCAUGAGAUAGUGUAUUUAAGAGAUUUUCUAUUUCAAGUUUCCAUAUUUAAUCAGCUUAACAAGUGCACAUUCUCUGCUGCCAACAGUACCAAUUUGUCAUCCAAGCAACAAAUAUUCCUUGGUAAUCUGCUAUCAGAUGAUUACAGUUUUCUCUUUGGCAUUUUUAUGAAUUAAAGCUUUCAAGGCCAAACUUCAGAUUUGCUUAGCAUAUUCCUGUACUACAUAUCAACAAAUGUUUGAUGGUUUGUCUGGUUCAUCUCUUAACACUAUGAAGAUGGCUACACUAAUCUUAACAAGCAAACAUUCUGUUGCCCACAGUACCAAUUUGUCAUCCUAUCCAAGCAACUACUAUUCCUUGGUAAUCUGCUAUCAGAUGAUUACAGUUUUCUCUUUGGCAUUUGUAUGAAUUAAAGCUUUCAAAGCCAAAGUAAGACAUUUUUUUUCUUCAACAGUUAAUUCUGAAACAAUUUAUUCAAAUUUUUUAAACAUUAUUCUGAACUAUUUUCUGUGUUUUGGUCAAGCCUUAGAUUUCGUUAGCAUAACCCUGAACUGCAUAUCAACAAAUGUCUAAUGGUCUGUCUGGUUCAUUUGUCAACACUAUGAAGAUGGCUACACAGGUAUCAGCUAUCAGCAGUGCACCCCUAAGAUACACAAGUCUUCAUUGCCAAGUCACUCUGCCAAACAACUCUACAUGCUACUGAUCUGGAGGUUAGUGGAUCAAUCAUUGUGCACUGAUUCUUCACUGAUGCCUUGAUUCUCCACUGUCAACUUUAUUGUCAUAAAGUUUAUCUAGUGAUCUACAUAUCAAGACUAAACGGUCAAUUAAACAUGAGGUCAAGGAAAAAGGAUGAACAUUUCAAGGCUACAGAAGGAACAUUAAACGUCUCUCUCACUGUGAAAAGACUCUACCGAUCUACAAAUGAUCAACAUGUUUUAUCUUAAGUUCAUCUGCCAUUUCUUCAAAUGGAGCCAUAGUCACAAUAAGAUUUUCAUCAUUUUUUCCUAAAGUCAUUUUAGUUGUGAAUUAUUUUGUGCAACAAGUUACCAGAAAAACGUCAAGCAAGAGAGGUCACUACACUAAGACUUUGUCUUCUCAUAAGAAUGGAUUGUUUUCUCAAAAGAAUGGAUGGCUGCCUGGUCAUGUGGGAUGUGCGCUGGACUGUUGUGUGGUCAUCUUGAUGCUCAUACCUUGCCUGAUGCCAUUUAUUCUGCUGGACGUUUGGUCAAGGAAGUAGAUUCUCUUCAGCUCUCAAGGAACAUUCAAAACAUGUCAAACAUUUGAUAAGAAUAUCAAGUUACAGUGUACAUACCAAGGUGAUGAAGAUGUAAACCGACAUGGAGAUGUAGACCAACAUGAAGAUGUAGACCAACAUGAAGAUGUAGACCAACAUGAAGAUGUAGACCAACAUGAAGAUGUAGACCAACAUGAAGAUGUAGACCAGCAUAAGGAUGUAGACCAACAUAAGAAUGUAGCAUGAUGAAGAUGUAGACCAGCUUGGUGAAGAUGUAGACCAACAUGAUGAAGAUGUAGACCAACAUGAUGAAGAUGUAGACUGACAUGAAGAUGAAAUUUAAACCGAAAUAUUGAUAAAGAGAUGUAGGGAAUAAAAUGUGAACAUCUUAAGAAGUAAAACAAUUCCUAGAGGUGAAGACACAGACACAGUGGAUACAUUAGAGAUUGUUUCCUUUUCUACCAUUAUUUAGAGCCUUACCUGUGCUCUCAGGGAACCUGCCAUUAUCUUUUGAUUGCUAGGUGUUGGUGAAGAUUUUGUUUACAUAUCUGGUGCGUCUGAAAGAAAUGAACAUUUCCCUAAAGCUACAUCAAAGCCAGAACUUCUUAAGACAAUCUUAGUGACCAAGCUACUAUACAAGACACAGUAGGAAACAAUGAAGAAUUCUCCCAACCUCAAGUUGAGUACCCAUGCUCACCUACUAGAGUGGCGACACAUAAUUCUCCUACACCCACAGUUAUUUAUCCUGAACCCUUUAACCCAACCUCACAACAUGGUUACAUUACCGGAAGUGGUUGCAAAGUCAGAAAACCUAACAGAUACAAUGAAAAGAACAAUCAUUUCUAAUACAGGUACAAGUACUCAAGUGAUAUACUUUGUAAGAACUAAUUAGUUGGAAUUACCAUAAUUGACUUGUAUCUUUUUCUAUAUUUAGGUAUAUGUUUUUUUUUAAAUAUUCCUUUUUCCCCCCUCAAUCUUCUUGUUUCAGUUCAAUGUUUUUAUCUAUUUUGUUUUUGGAGGAGGGAAGUUCUAUGGUAUAUUAUCAUUAUUAUUAUUGUAUUAAGCAAACUUGUAUAUGUAUGUUUAUUCAUGAAUACUAAUGAAGAAAUGAAGAACAUCACUUCUAGGUCAUCUACUGCAAAUGUUGUAAACACUAAACAUGUCUUCAGUUAACCUUGGAUAUUCUAUAGAGUCACAACACCAAAACUACAAUAUGCUUAAUUCAAUUUAUUAUCUCCCCUGCUUUUGUGUGCUAUCAUAUUAAUGUUCAUUAGUGUCACAUCCCUGCACUAUUUGUUCUAUGUUUUUUUUAUAGUGUAAAUAGUGACUUCACAUUGUUUAGCUCUAUUAAAAUAUUAUUAUAUUAUUAUAUUUAAAAUAAAACUGUUAACAUUGACUAUGCUGUUAUUAAUAUGAAAGCUUUGCUGUGUUGCUAUAAAUGCAAUUUUUUGGGGGUUUAGUCUAAGGACAUCAUAGAUGAGAAAUGUAGUGACACUCCCCUUAACAGUUAAAAAUAAAAUGUUCCAUAAACAAAGAGUCUAUUAAUAUUUACUAUUUGGUAUUGACAGACUUCACUCAAGCAUUGAGCUCAUCCCCUUAGUCUAUUUAAAACUUUAAAAUACUAAUUCACUUUGUCUUAUCUAAUGGUGAUCAUGGGGUAUCCACUUUGUCAUCUCCAUAGUCUCUGGUGUGAACAUUCACUGUCCUGUUGGAGGUUAGGACUAGCAUGUAAUCUCUAUUUCUGACGGAACACAUGUAAAAUCAACAGUAGACCUAGACUUUAUUAACAGGUCAUGCAAGCAUUUUUUAUAAUUGUGAACUAGCGCUCCCAGAGCUAUUUUUAUGUAUUGUUAUUUUUACUACUUUUGUAGACUAGUGCUAAGCUGUAUACAUGUACUUCCCCCUAUUAUUAUAUGGGUUAGGGUGGAGUACUUCAAAUAGUAUAGUCAAUGCUGUUUCCUGUACUGUUGACCAGGGGUCUAUGUGUCAGUUUUAAUUAUUCUGUACCUGGGACUGCCAGUAAGUUUCAGAAUUAUUUUUCUUUUUUUUUAUUUUACUAUGUGUAAAUCUAUUAUUUAAUUUUUUAGCAAUAUAUGUUACAUUAUUUUUCUAAUUGGAACAAGUGUCAAAAUAACUGACAAUAUGUUUAAAAAAUAUAGCUAAGCCCCGGCCAGCACUGUCAUGAUGGCCACUUCUAAUGUUUAUGUACUAGAUCUUGUCCUUAUGUUUUUUGUAUUUUUUUGCUGCAUUGUUUUGUAACUGCUGCUUUAGUCAUUGAAAUUAAAGUCUCAUUUUUUUGUAUUUC